rnacentral:lncRNA from 1 species
AAAACACUCCUGCUCGUUUUUUAAAUAGUACUUGAACGUGUAUCGUGAAGUUUAAUCGUUUUUUUACCCUGAACCGCCUCACCUUUAUACAGUUUAGAACUGACAUAUAACUAUCUCAUGAAGUUGAAUUAUUAUAUUUACAGUUAAAAUCUAUUCAUACAGCAAUGUAUACAUUCUUAAAAAUACCUGGGUAAAUGAUUGUAGACUUGUCAUGGUAUUCUGCAAUACGAAUCUCCGCCUUUAUCGUAUUGUUGAUUACUGACUACACAUGAAAACACAUAACUUUAUAGCUGAUUGAAGUAUAUUUGCGGUGCCAGCUGUAUCUCUACAAACGUUUUCCAAACUGUUUGCAAGUUUGUAUUAAGUACCUGGCAACCUGACUCGCAUUUCGUAGCCACCUGUAGACCACAUUUGUUUUGACUAAGCGCCAACUUUCAUCUAGCUAGUGUAGUUCAGAAUCAACCAAACUCUAUAUAUAUACUUACAUGCAUUUUUCAAGGACAAGGAAUCUGCCCAUGAAACUACGCAAACUGAUCCAUGCCUCGACAAGCAGGCUCCAUUGGCUUUUUUCAAAUGUCAGAUGCCGGAUUUUUUGGUUAGCGGCAAAUCAACCUGGGUACGAGAUUCGGUAAGCCGCAAAUCAACCUCGUACCCAGGAAUAA